rnacentral:lncRNA from 1 species
UGCUUUCCUGCUCGAGAACGCACCGGACGUCUGGCUAUAGAAGGUAGUAUAGAGAUUCGCUAAUAUUCAAACAGUCUAUCGGUUUUUGACUGUUGGAAUAUAAAUAACUUCAAGAAUAUAUCGUAAAUCUAUACAUAUGUCCUUCAACUGCUCGUCGAAGUCCUUUUUGCCCCAGCCGGUAGGUCUCUAGUUAUUACAGAGAAUACCAAACAACUCAAAUUUCUAAUCUUUGAUACCGCUUUAUACUCACGAUCUUGUAUCCAUUGACUGUCUCGUUAGAUUAAUCCAAUAAAUUUCAUUCACUCCGCAUACUCAAUCCUAUAGAUACGCUUUCAAUUCUCCAUCACAGACAUAACUCGAUUUCACAAAACAGUCAAGAG